AACCUUAUCGUCACUUCCUCUCAUGAACCCUGAUUUCCUGAAAAGAUGGCGGUUCGACUUCAAGAUGUGCUUCGAGAAAUGUUAUUUCUGUUCCGGGACGGUGUACCCGGGGCACGGCAUGAUGUCUGUCCGCAGCUAGUGUAAGUUGAUGCCAUGAAGAGAGUAGAUGAGAUCAAACAAAAACAUCAAGCUAAUUUAUAAUGAACAGUUAAAGAAGAGCAAAGAACUACAGAAUGUUCAGGCUAUUAGCGAAGUCAAACAAAACAUCUACCUUAUUCAGGCAUCCCUGGCAGGAAAAGGAAAACAAUUGGAAGAAAAAAACAGUGCUCCAAUUACAAUAGGAUAUGGACAUGGAAGAUUAUUCUUCGACUUCUCAGUGUUCUGAAACCUUUGCUCUCUAUUUCUCUAGAAAAUAUCUUGCAGAGCCUUGGAACUCUUGUGUAUUAUUGAUUUGUUUUUUACAUUAAUUCAGAAGAAGGAAUGGUAGUUAAAAAUACAUCUCUUCCAUAUCAUUAUCUGUAAAAUAUCAAAUUAUGGGGAUGUUAGAGUAUAGUUCAAGGUUAAAGGGACAUUGAAUUGGCCAUUCUUUGUAAGUUAUGAAAGUGCUAUUUGUAAUAAUAGAAGGGAGUAGAAACAAAAUGGUUAAAUCCUUUGGAUAAUGACUUUCAGCAUUUUAAAAAUUUGAUAAUUGUAUUUUGGUCAUUGAUGUACAAAAUAAAACAUUUCUUUUUAACGUCCUCCUUUAAUUGAAAUGGGAAUGGAAUAAAACUGUAUGUUUAUUGAAUUAA